GACGUAGGGGGCAAGCGUUGUCCGGAUUUAUUGGGCGUAAAGCGCGCGUAGGCGGCUGCGCAAGUCGGUUGUGAAACCCCGGGGCUCAACCCCGGAACUGCAUCCGAUACUGCGUGGCUAGAGGUAGGUAGGGGAGGUCGGAAUUCCUGGUGUAGCGGUGAAAUGCGCAGAUAUCAGGAGGAACACCGGUGGCGAAGGCGGAUCUCUGGGCCUUACCUGACGCUCAGGCACGAAAGCUAGGGGAGCGAACAGG
rnacentral:rRNA from 1 species